GUGGGGGCAGCUGACUCUCCUCAUGGUAUCCUGGUGGCCUUUCUUCUCCCAAGCCUUGAAUUUGCCCCGGAGAGCAGGCUUCUGGGUAACUUGACAGCCUGAAUCUAAGGCUUACCCAGAUCUGGAGAGGCCCUUGGGGUCCUCACCUGAGAGAAGUCAGGAUGGAGGUGUGGGAGGACGAAGGCGCUGUGGUCAGCUUCUCAUCACUUGUCAGAACUGCUUCCCCGUGCUGCAGGGACUCGUGAAAGCGGCGGAUGUUCUGCACAUGCUCUUCAUGGCGUGUGGCCUGGCUUCUGAUGGCACCAUUUCUGUCAUGGGGAAACCGGGAGGGAAGUCAACUCUUAACCAAGGAGAGAACUCUCAGCAUAACUGAGUCAUGUUCUUGAAAUGAAACUGCAAGACCUGUCCCACCACUGCAAACAGUUCUGGCUUGCUUAGCUCUUUUUGUAUUACACAGGUUUCUUAAAAAACACUCGCUUUCAGUCUUACCCACUCCACUUCCUUCUGUUCUCCACAUUUGAGCGGGAGUGACUUUUCUAACCAACACCACAUAUGGAGCCUUCCUUAAGGAUUCAACAGGCAUUAAUAUAUUCACCAUUACCAUUUCUUUCUAGCUCUGCCUUUUUUAAUCUACAGAACAAACCUCUAAUUCCUAAGCAUGAUAUUAAAAAAUGUGACCACAACAAUCUUUCUUUUCUCUUUUAAUAAGGCAGCCUUUUUGAGGUAAUUCAUACAGCAUUUAGUUAACACAAUUGAAAUAUAUAAUCCGGCAAUUUUAGUAUAUCCAGAGUACAUGAGUGUUUGAUCCCUUAGCACUGGGGCUGUAGGCCCCUGGCUGUGGAUGCUCAGGAGGAACUGAGCUCAGGUCCUCUGGGAAAGUAGCAGUUACCCUCAAUGGCUGACACAUUUCUCCGGGCCCUAUAUUAAAGAACUACCAAACAGUUCUGCAAAGCACUUAGACAACUUUACAAUUUCUCCACAUUCUUCCUUCCUAACACUUGGGAUACUUUCCCCCCGUUAGCAGUGGGUAUGAAGCUGUACCUCAUUUUGGUUUUGAUUUGCAUCUUUCAUCAUCACUUGUCUAUCUUCUUUGGAGAAUUGUCUAUCCAGCUACUUUGUUUUAAAACUGUGUUAUUUAAGCCCCUCCACCAGUAUUGGGGGAUCAAACCUAGACAGACAAAUGCUUCUAAUAGAAGCCCAUCAGAUGGGAUAUUUGCUUCAUAUAUUGGAGUUGUUUAUGGUUUAGUUAUAAAUCUCCAUUAGAUCUAUGUUUUGAAUUUAUUCUUCUAUGGGUUUUCUUUUUACUUUCUAUUUUUAGAUUUUCUUCAAAAUUUAUUUUUAUUUUAUUGUGUGUGUGUGUGUCGUGUGUGUGUGUGUGUCGUGUGUGGUGCCUUGGAGGCCAGAGGAUGACAAUGGAUAACCGAGGACUUGGAGUUACAAAUUGCUGUGAGCCCUAAGAUGUGAGUGCUGGCAGGUAACCUUGGGCCCCCAGGAGUCGCUCUUACCUGCUGAGCCAUCUUCCAGGCCCUUCCCUUUCCUGAUGUCAUCACACACAGCACUCAGGUCUUUACUUCUGAUCAGAAAGUUUUUUUUUUUUUUUUCUGCUUUUGCCUUUGUCGUCAUAUUUAGGGAAUCAAUAAUUCACAAAAAUUUACACUGAUUAUGUUUUCUUUGAAGAGUUUCUUGUUUUGCUACUAUGUUAACUCCAAUUUGAGGCUGUUUUGUGUAUGGCACUAGGAGGGGCUUGAAUUCAGCCUGCACUGGGGUGUCAAGCUGUUGCUGCUCUGUUUGGAAGUCUGUUCUUUCCUCAUUGAACUGUAUGGGCACACCUGCUAAAAUUCAGUUCACAUACUUUACCGCUGGAAUAUUAAUUUUAUCUCACUAGUCUGUAUUUCUAGCCUGUGCUGUGUUUUGCUUACUGUAGCAUUGUGGAAUUGGGAACUUUGCUCUUUUAAAAGGUUGUUUUGUCUAUUCUGCAUUUCUCGAAUUUCCAUAUGAAUUUUAGAAUUGGUUUAUUCAUUUCUAGAAAGAAACAGGGAUUUUGAUAUUAUGUUGAACUUAUAUAAGAAUAUUGGAAGUGCCAUAAUAUUAAAAAUGUUAAAUUCAUGAAUCC
rnacentral:lncRNA from 1 species